rnacentral:rRNA from 1 species
UACGUAGGGGGCAAGCGUUGUCCGGAAUCAUUGGGCGUAAAGCGCGCGUAGGCGGCCAGAUAAGUCCGGUGUGAAAGUCACAGGCUCAACCUGUGAAUGCUGCUGGAAACUGUCUGGCUUGAGUCCGGAAGGGGCGAGUGGAAUUCCUGGUGUAGCGGUGAAAUGCGCAGAUAUCAGGAGGAACACCAAUGGCGAAGGCAGCUCGCUGGAACGGUACUGACGCUGAGGCGCGAAAGCGUGGGGAGCGAACAGG